rnacentral:sRNA from 1 species
GAGAAAGCAAAAUACCAGUGGUGCCUGUAAUCCUGGAAAAGAAUGUCUAUUGAGACCAUGAGAAACAGCAACAGUUGGUUGGCCUCCAGCUAGAACAGAGGAAAGGCUCCUUCCUCCACCACUGUUUUGUGUACUGACAAAUAGAUGAUAUCGCAGUCUACUAGUUGCAUUAUAUAUUGCACUUUGAACAUUCAAAAACUCCCCUGACACCUGUACCAAUUGAUCAUUUUCUGAUACACACUUUGGAGCCUGAUCAUGGCCAAUUAUUCUUAUAUGCGUCCCUGUGGCUUUCCUCAUUUCUGAGAUGAUUGCCCCACCUUUCCCUAACAAGCAACCAACUUGGUUUGACGAGAUUACAAGACGUGCACAAACAGAUGUUCCAUUUUUCGCUUUCAAGUCUAGCCCCUUCCCAACACCAGCCUCAACAGACUUGGAGAAAACAAGCACAACGGCCUUCUGUGCAGCGGAAUAGUUUGAUUCAGCAUUCUGCCAAAAAGUAAGUCACCAGCAAAAAAGAAAUAUUAAUAGACAAUGUACUACACUAAUAUACACACAAGGCAAUAAACAUAAGUACAAGCAAAAAGAUUACUUUUAACAAACCUCUGAAGCAGUAAUAGUAAUUAGUCUAUCCUCGCACUCAACUACUGAA